rnacentral:piRNA from 1 species
GUAUUGCAGUACUUCCAGGAACG